UACGUAGGGGGCGAGCGUUGUCCGGAUUUAUUGGGCGUAAAGAGCGUGUAGGCGGCUUCACAGGUCUGCUGUGAAAACUCGAGGCUCAACCUCGAGCUGUCGGUGGAAACCGUGUGGCUAGAGUCCGGAAGAGGAGAGCGGAAUUCCCGGUGUAGCGGUGAAAUGCGCAGAUAUCGGGAAGAACACCCGUGGCGAAGGCGGCUCUCUGGGACGGUACUGACGCUGAGACGCGAAAGCGUGGGGAGCAAACAGGGAUUAAGAAACC
rnacentral:rRNA from 1 species